rnacentral:rRNA from 1 species
UACGUGAGGGUGCGAGCGUUUGUCCGGAAUUAUUGGGCGUAAAGAGCUCGUAGGCGGUGUGUCGCGUCGGCCGUGAAAACCUGCAGCUUAACUGUGGGCUUGCGGUCGAUACGGGCAUCACUGGAGUUCGGCAGGGGAGACUGGAAUUCCUGGUGAUAGCGGUGAAAUGACGCAGAUAUCAGGAGGAACACCGGUGGCGAAGGCGGAUCUCUGGGCCGAUACUGACGUGGAGGAAGCGAAAGCGUGGGGAGCGAACAGG